GCGCCUAUAGUUUAAUGGUAAAACAGUGAUCUUAUACAUCACCAUUCUAGGUCCGAUUCCUAGUGGGCGCA
rnacentral:tRNA from 1 species